UGAAAGCUCUCUCAAAGAGGUUUGCAAUUGACGAACCUUUUCGUGAAGGUCUUUAUAAAAAUUUUGGUAUAAACUAUUAAUUUCGGCUAAAAUCACCCCUUUGGUAGUUUCUACUGCUGUACACAUUGCCUUUGAAAAAAGGCUUUCAGACACAUCGGAAAUAUCUGAAGUAGCAGGAAUAUUGUCAACCCUUAAGAUGUGGAGCAGGAGCUAAUGAAGCUUUAGAAGAAGAAGGAGAAGCCUUAGUAGCUUUAAGAUACUUCCGGUUUACGGUACGACAGUGUUGUGAUACCGCUAUUAAAGCAAGAGAGUCGUCGGAUUUAUCGGACUCGUUCUCGAUAACCACUUUCGACUGUGUCAUUUCAACCUUCGACGGGGUCGCUGGUUCAACUGACACAUACUUGCGUUGGCUACGUCGCGAACGAGCACGUACCUCCCUUCUUUCCUCUCUAUACUUUUCUGACGGUAUCCACACACCUGCAGCCUUCUUCCAAUGUUCACGGUUCCCCGAAUUCCGACGAAGUGAAAGGCGUUUCACAUUGUUAUCGUCGACAUUCGCGGAACCUGCGACGUUCAGAAGCGACGGAUCUUGCUGCGCAUUAGAUUCCACGUUAGGAUCCAUCGGCUGCUCAUUAGGCUGCACGUUUGGAUCCAGCGCCUUCUCAACAGUCGAUAUGUUCAACAGGUUUAUGUCAAAACUGUUUAACAGGAAUGACUCCUGGCUGCUGGCGAAACCGGGAGCAGUUAAAUCAAUUUGACUAAAACAGUCUUGAGACAUCUUGAUAAAAAAGAUUCAUACAUUAAUUUAUUUUAUUUUAAUAAAAAAUCACUUACUCACAUACUUACAUCGCUUGAUGAAAAGAACGUUAAAAUCUAAUUGCAGUGGGUGCUGAAUGAUAGGAUGUGAAUGAUAAAAAAUUAUUGUAUAUAUUAUGAUACAAACGUUCGAUAAUAAAGUUAUGCUUACCAACAAAAAUUGAAAUUUUAAAUAGAAGGAGCUAUAGGAAUGAAAAAACCAGAUUAGCAACAAUAUAUGCAAAGAAAAAGAAGGCUUACCAGAAAAAAGUCGCCGAGAUUACGAAGUUACCAAACUGAUCGAACUGAUCAAACAAAAAAAUCGAAGUGAUCAGCAGUAAGGUCCUGUAGGAAUUGAAAAAAUAAAAACAACAAUUUAACAUAACAAACAAAUAAACAAGUUAUACUCACAAAAACAAAGUAGAAAGAGCUGUUAUGAUGAAAUAAAACAUGAAAGUUUACAUAUUAUAUAAGCAAAGUAAAAAAGGUUACUUACCAAAUUUUAAAUUACCUUACCACAUUUUUAAAUUCAUUUGUUGUAUUAUAAAAUAAUAAAUUUAAAAACUUAAACUCUAACAACACUAAUACCAAGUUUACCUACAGAAAAUACACUUUCAUCAAUAAGUUUAAUUUCUAUUAAACUAUUAAUCUAUUAAUUUUACGAACUUUAAGACCGUGAGCAACGGCUUGUUUUAAAUUUCUAUAAUGGAUCACAUAAUUUUUCUUAUCAAAUAAAUUCGGAAUUAAUCUCCUUUCACUUUCACAUCGAUUAUUGGGGGCAAUUAAAUUCUCAGCUAAAAACGGGAGAUCGUUGUGUAAAUCAUGCAAAGCUGCAGGGUAUUCAAUAUCUACGUCUAAAAUAUAUCCAAAAUCGGAAUUAUCGGGUAUAUUAUUAAAAUCUAAUUUUUGUAUGUCAUUUUCACUCAGCCAUUUAAAAUUGGAAACGGGCAUAAAUUGAGACAUCGCCCACCCAUACAAAUUAUUAGCGUCCCAAUACAUUAAAAAGUUUGACGGUAAAUUGAGGUUAUAAUCAUCCAUAUAUUUAUUAUUGGCUUUAGCGGACCGUAGGGAGCAUUGGGAAAUGCCUCCACGGAUACCUUUCUUAAUAAAAUGGACUUGAUCUAUAUCCGUCAAUAAUUCUAAUUUAAUUUUGGUAAAUUUCAACAUUGCAUCCCAAGAAAGUCCUGGGGCAGUAUAAUAAUGAGCGGGAUCUAAAUCGUAGGUUUUGAAGCAAACUUGUCUGAAUUUUUCAAAUACAUCUUCAAGUAAAAGGACAUCAGUUUUUAGAUACAAAUCCGAAUAAUCUUUUAACCCUUAAAUGCAUGAUAUUUUUUUUUCAACUCAACCAUAGAAAAACGAGUUUAGUGGAUGAUAAAAAGUCAAGGAAAAAUAUGAAAAAAAAUUAAAUUUUAUUUUUUUAAAUAUUUAUUUAACAAAAAACGUAUGUUGCCGCACGGCAACAUUGCGCAUACAGUAAACUUAUCAUUUAUCUAAUUAAUGUGGAAGUUAUAAAAACAGUUAUUGUCUUUGUUCAGGCAAAGUGCUACUCCGCAUUUUUGGCAUUUUGUGUGUGAACCCUUUACAAUUUGGAUAUUUGCAUCGCAUUUUACCAUCUUCUAAAAUAGGCCAAUGUCCACACUGAUCUCUUCUGACGUCCUUGGGGGGAAUGUACUAGCAAGGACCUUUUUUCUUCUUAUUCUGUAUUUCAUUUUCUAGUGUACUGGGUCUGCCUCGUUUUGAGACUGAUGUUUCUAUUUUGCACAAAGUUUCAGCAAGCUCAGUGCGAAAUUCGGCUUGUGAAAGAAUUUUAGUGGAGGUACCUUUGGCGAGUAAUACUUUUUUGUAUAGAAUCCAAGAAUUUGCAGCUAUCAAGUCAAGUAGGUGGUAAAAAAUCCUUAAAUACCAUUUUCUACUCUUGAUACGUAUUUUGUAUCUUCCAAUAUUACUGUCCAUUAGGUCCACACCUCCCAUAUGGCGGUUGUAUUCCCGAAUGACGAAUGGACAAUCUACUUCCACAACCAUUUUUAAUUUUCGGUCAAAACGUUUCACUUUUCGUAUCGGAGCAGUACCAGCAAAACUUGACAACAUAGUGACGUAUUUGUUGUCUUUCCAUACUGUUGAUGAAAUGUCAACUCCAUCGACUGUUGCUACAUAUUCACAGCUUUCACCACGACGCCAUUUUUUCAUACAUUUUUCAGUGGGUAGCUUACAAUCUGGUAUUCUUUUCCUCUGAACCGUGCCCAAAGAAAAUACUCCUUUUUUUGCUAGAUAUAUCAUAAGCGGUACGCUUGUGUAAUAGUUAUCAUGAUACAACCGAAAAUUUUGAUGUUCUGGUAUAAUUCUAGAGAGGCGAACAACUGUAUUAGAUGAUGGUCCUAGAUCAGGUUCUCCUUCUGGACGAUUCGCAGAAUUUUCUUGGCCACUAUAAAUUUCAAAUGCAUAAGAAAAGCCUGAAACUCCAGCUAUUAUGUAUAAUUUGAAUCCCCAUUUGUGAGGCUUCUUGGGCAAAUAUUGUUUCAUGUAGUGUCCUAUUUUAGUGGAACACAUUUGCUCAUCCACACUGAGGUGCUGCUCAAGGGGUACGCUGGAAAAUCUAUUGUUCAAUAUAUCAAUUAGUGAUCUUAUUUUGUAGAGUCUAUCAUGGUCCGGUUGAGAGAAUGGAAUUAGAUUAGUGUUGUAGUAGGUAGAAAAUGAGGACACUUCUGACGUCACAGCAUGGCAUGAGGAUACUUCUGACGUCAGAGCCCCUCCAAGCCCCCACCCCGCAGGGUGGGGUUAGGAUGGGCGUUGACGAAAGUAGUCCCCCACCCCACGCCACCACACGUGACCAAUAGAAGUGCCCCCAUUUUCAGAGAGAGAGUGACUUACCACACCACCAACACCACCGCCGCCGCCAAAAUAAAUUUUUUUUAUUUUCUUAAAUUUAAAGUACAUAUAUAUUAAUAAUCUAAACUGCUGUUUAUGUUGCGAUAAUGACACGUCUUAUUUAUAUCUAAAUUUAUGAUAACUAAAUUUUUAAAAUCUUCUCCAAUCGUCUCCCGCAAUAACCUCUCUUUUUGAUGUCCCUUCACAAAAACCACCUCCACAUCCCUCAAACGCUCCAACAAAAUUUCUUUGAGCGAGG